rnacentral:rRNA from 2 species
AAAGGUGUGCUAAUACCGCAUAAUCUCUCAGGAGAAAAGCAGGGGAUCGCAAGACCUUGCGCUUUAGGAGCGGCCGAUGCCUGAUUAGCUUGUUGGUAAGGUAAAAGCUUACCAAGGCUUCGAUCAGUAGCUGGUCUGAGAGGACGACCAGCCACACUGGGACUGAGACACGGCCCAGACUCCUACGGGAGGCAGCAGUGGGGAAUUUUGGACAAUGGGGGAAACCCUGAUCCAGCCAUGCCGCGUGAGUGAAGAAGGCCUUCGGGUUGUAAAGCUCUUUCAGCCGGAACGAAACGGUUACGAUUAAUACUCGUAAUUAAUGACGGUACCGGCAGAAGAAGCACCGGCUAACUACGUGCCAGCAGCCGCGGUAAUACGUAGGGUGCGAGCGUUAAUCGGAAUUACUGGGCGUAAAGGGUCCGCAGGUUGUUUUGUAAGUCAGAUGUGAAAGCCCCGGGCUUAACCUGGGAACUGCGUCUGAAACUACAAGGCUAGAGUAUGGCAGAGGGGGGUGGAAUUCCGCGUGUAGCAGUGAAAUGCGUAGAUAUGUGGAGGAACACCGAUGGCGAAGGCAGCCCCCUGGGUCAAUACUGACGCUGAGGGACGAAAGCAUGGGGAGCAAACAGGAUUAGAUACCCUGGUAGUCCAUGCCCUAAACGAUGUCAACUAGUUGUCGGGCCUUUACGGGCUUGGUAACGUAGCUAACGCGUGAAGUUGACCGCCUGGGGAGUACGAUCGCAAGAUUAAAACUCAAAUGAAUUGACGGGGACCCGCACAAGCGGUGGAUUAUGUGGAUUAAUUCGAUGCAACGCGAAAAACCUUACCUACCCUUGACAUGUAUCGAAGCCCGCAGAAAAGCGGAGGUGCCCGAAAGGGAACGAUAACACAGGUGCUGCAUGGCUGUCGUCAGCUCGUGUCGUGAGAUGUUGGGUUAAGUCCCGCAACGAGCGCAACCCUUGUCAUUAAUUGCCAUCAUUUAGUUGGGCACUUUAAUGAGACUGCCGGUGACAAACCGGAGGAAGGUGGGGAUGACGUCAAGUCCUCAUGGCCCUUA